UACGGGGGGGGGAAGCGUUGUUCGGAAUUACUGGGCGUAAAGGGCUCGUAGGCGGCCAACUAAGUCAUACGUGAAAUCCCUCAGCUUAACUGGGGAACUGCGUGUGAUACUGGAUGGCUUGGAUUUGGGAGAGGGAUGCGGAAUUCCAGGUGUAGCGGUGAAAUGCGUAGAUAUCGGAAGGAACACCAGUGGCGAAAGCGGCUUCCUGGUCCAGCACCGACGUUCAGGCACGAAAGCGUGGGGAGCAAACAGG
rnacentral:rRNA from 1 species